rnacentral:lncRNA from 10 species
CAACGAGCUUGGGUUGGGACCUGUUGCAUCACAGGGACAUCAAGCUCCUCCCGAGGAACCAGUGGUGACAGCUGAGGCCAUGUGAGUAGGAUCCUGAAUGAGGCUUUAUCUCUGGCUGUUCGUCCCAUCGUCCACCGUGGCACCAGCUCCCUCAGCCAGCCGGGAUGGGACCAGCGACUGAGAGAGCCAGAGGCAGAGAGGUGAGGGUGACCAUAUCCUGGACUGUGAGAGGAAUGGGACUCUGGGCCUGUAGCUGCCAAGCAGGUGGCAGGUGCUCCAGGCUGUGAUCUGAACCCUCUGACCCCUGACAUUGACCUCCUACCCUGACCCCUGCCUGACCAAGCCAUGUCUGAACAGGAGGCUCAAGCCCCAGGGGGCCGGGGGCUGCCCCCGGACAUGCUGGCAGAG